rnacentral:misc_RNA from 1 species
UGUGGGAGCGGGCUUGCCCGCGACAGUGGUCUGUCAGCCAGAAAUUAUUAAGCUGAUCCACCGCAAUCGCGGGCAAGCCCGCUCCCACA